CCUACGGGUGGCAGCAGUGGGGGAUAUUGCACAAUGGGGGAAACCCUGAUGCAGCGACGCCGCGUGUGGGAAGACGGUCCUCUGGAUUGUAAACCACUGUCCCCAGGGACGAAGAUGCCGGUACCUGGGGAGGAAGCUCCGGCUAACUACGUGCAAGCAGCCGCGGUAAUACGUAGGGAGUGAGCGUGGUCCGGAAUUACUGGGUGUAAAGGGAGCGUCGGCGGGGAUGCAAGGUGGGUGUCAAAACUACCGGCUCAACUGGUAGUCGCACUCAAAACUGCAGCUCUUGAGUGAAGUAGAGGCAGGCGGAAUUCCUAGUGUAGCGGUGAAAUGCGUAGAUAUUAGGAGGAACACCAGUGGCGAAGGCGGCCUGCUGGGCUUUUACUGACGCUGAGGCUCGAAAGUGUGGGGAGCAAACAGGAUUAGAUACCCUUGUAGUC
rnacentral:rRNA from 1 species